AGUGGGUCCACUCUGCAAGAGAUAGGAGAAAAGCAGGACAGCAGCUCCGAGCCCUCCGUCUACCGCUGUUUGGCCUCAGAUGCGUCCAUGUCCAGCAGCAAGAAGUCAGGGAGACGUCUGCGUCAAAGUCCCGAGAUGCUGAUGACUGGGAAGCUCGCACGUGCCCGACGGCCUGUUUGGAGAAUGACCAGUGGAUUGGAAAAACACCAAAAUGUGCCUCUAAACCCCAAAUAAUCCCACGACACGAUUUUUUUCUUAACCCUUAAUUAAUUUACAAAUAACAGUGUGUGCAGUUAGACCGCUCUGUGUACUCAGCACGUCCAACCAAAGCCCGGAAGUUGCAGAAGGCCAGACAGAUUUUCUACAAGUUUACACAGCCUUCCACAAGGUAACGAAACUGCGUCCGAAAACAUUUAAUAAAAUCGAGCAAACGUGUUUCUAGAACGAAAACACGUGUAGCUCUGCAUCACAGCUGUACCAUUGAAAAAGAAAAUUUUUCUGCAUUGCAGUCAGACAGUCACGUGUUUAUUUGACAUACAAAUGACCACUAAUCAAAUGUGCAGUGCGACGCUUUUUCAAGUGAAGUACAUUUCAAGAAAUGUUCCGCAAACACAUUUCUAAAAUCAAAAUGCAGAAAAAAAUGACUCGUGUGAGUGCUUUUACCUGCGAAACACAUAUGUGAGGAAAAGCUGAAAACAAAGAAAGAUAAACACAUUGUCAAGUAAUUUAAAAAUGCCACAUAACCGUGUUGAGUGUAUUCAUAAGGUCAAUUUAUCAUUAAGAGGAAUUUCGAAAAAUAGGCCUAAAAUUAAAACAGAAUUACACCUGAACUACAUGUGGAUGAACAUUUAAGCAUUUAAUACACAAUAAAAGCGCUACAGUGGUAGUCGUUAUUAAAGUGAGGAAUUAAAACUGUGAAGUUGUUUGUUAAAACAAGUAUAACUCGUGUAAUUCAUGAAACAAUGGGACAUAUUCUAUGAAAUGUGCUCAUUAAAAAUCUGAACACUGAAUCAAUGCUGAAGGAAACCCACUUGCAUUUGUCUAUUAAUGUUGCUUAAAUAAUAAUUUAUACUCCCUUGUCCUGAUGCUGAUGCACCAUAUGCUUAUAGCAGUUGACCUUGUUUCAAUUAGGCAAUAAUUGCCCAUGUUUUUCUAAAAAUAUUGUUGAUGAAAAUGUGGACUGCUGGUCUGAAUCUAACCUGAUCCUCCUAAAAUCAUUUUGUUUGUGACUUCCAAAACCACCACAACCAAAUAGAUUGUUGUAUUUUGUGGUGACAGUUGGAAUAAUAAUAAAAUAAGUGGUUAAUAAAUGGUUUUGUCAUAAACGCUUGAUUUCUAUUAUAUAUAAACAAAAUAAAAAACGGAGCCACGCACAGAAAAGUUAAUGCGUUUUGUUCCUUUUAAAUGUUUCUUGGAUGAAAACAUUAAAUCUGAAAAAUAAAUUCAAUUGAUAUGUUCCAAAAGUUACAAAACAAACUGCAGGAAAUUUGUUGGCGUGCAGUGGCCCUAAUCAUGUAAGGCAACCUAUAAGCGUCAAUUAGGCUGAGCUUUGGGUUAAUGAAAGCCCCGAGUGGUGUGUCUCACCACAGCCCCCUAAACCAGCCAUUACUGCAGACCACAAUGGCUCUGAUACCACACUGUUUUAAGACCCAGCAUUAUGUGGGUAAUAAGUUCCCUAAACCUCACUGUGAGAAGAGAAGGGCACAUUGUGGGAUCAGACAGGCAAAGUUCAGACAACAUGGAAGGACUGUUUCUAAGUCCUGAAUGUUUGUCUGUAAAACCCAGAAUGAGUCAGGGUAAAAUGUUUCCUCAAAAUUACAAGUUUUAGAUCCCAGGCUGGAAUAUAACUGCAAACCAUGAUGGACUUGUUGAAAGUAAUUAUCAGAGAACAAGCCAUGCAAUAAAUUAAUGGUCAACGAGAGGCAUUGAGGUAAAUUGUAGCAGAUAAAUACUCAUUCUUAUCAAAGAUGGACUUGGACACUUGUUUACAAGUUUAGAGGGACAGAGGAACAAAGGUAAAAGCAACCACAGCCAUAUGAACUUUAAUCAACAUGUACAUGUUUUAUCAAAGAAAUGAUUCAAUAAUAAAGUGUAUAGUUAGGAUAACAAUAUAAGGAAACAUUUGGUUACAGAGAGAAUACCAAAAUCUCAAUGCUCUGAUUAUAAUGUAUUAUUACAAAUGAUGAUGGUGACAAUAAACUGGAGCAGUAUAACUCAGGGUGAACCAAGGUCAAAACAACAAAUGUAAAAAUAUAUCUCCUCAGAAGUGCUGACAAACCUAAGUGAAACGGAAAGACAUUCGCUAAACCUUACUCCCUAAACCAAAGAGAAAAACAGGAGAAAACUAUGCAGCUAUUUUUUAUCUAAAAAUUUGCAAAGGGCCUCACAGUUAAGCUACUAGGGCGCUGGGCCUAAAAAGAUCACAAAAAGAACUACCAAGGGUCAAUCAAAUACAUGCAAGAAAUAAAGAAAGGCAAAUAUAGCUGAGCUGCAGAAAAAAAGGUAACUAUUAUUCCCAACUGAUAAGCCAGAUUUUAGAUCCAUAGCAGUGCCAGCAGUAUACAAAAGAACACUGCACAACUACAAAGUACAACACACAAGACAAAUAAAAAUCUAAGGCCUUGGUCCCGCUGCCACCUAUUAAAAGCACUUUACUCUGACUUCCGUCUGUAGCACUAUACUGACAUCUACUCCCAGUCUGCUCUCACUGCCCUCUGCUGCAGUGAAGUCAGGGGAAAAUUAGAUACUCACUUGUCCUUAUACAAAAUAUACUCUCCACUGAGACCAUAUAUCAAACUCGGCUGAACUAUUUUUUUCCUCUCUACAAUCUUCAUUCCUCUCCCCGCUAAAAUAAAUGACCCGGAGAAUUCUGCGUCUCCAUGCGAGAAGUGCAAUAAGCGGUGGAAAGGGAAGGAAAAAACAAGGCCCUUUUUGUCUGCGGCGGCCGACGUUUUAUCCCCACAUUGCCGAGUGUUGUCUAGCAUUACAAAUCUCAGCCCUGGCCUGCAUGGACACAGGAGGGCUCUGCUGGCCCUGCUCACACUGUCUGCAUCCUUUACGCUCUGCCAUGCAAAUAAACCCAAAUGAGAGAGCAGCUGAGGGGGAGAGCGCGAUGGAGAUGGAGGGUUGUUGGAGGGGAAAAAAAAGAUGGAAGGAAGGAAGGGGAAAUGAAGGAAGGAUGAAGGAUGGGCUGGCUGCAAAGAGGAAAUGAAGAAAUGUAUGUGGCAAGUAAUAAGGAAGGAAGGAAAUAGUUGGUCUGAAGUAGUCACAUAGGGACAAAAAGAGAGUAAGUCUGUGUAUGUUUGUGUGCAACAGAGACAGAAAGAAAGAGAAAAAGAGUGGGUGCUAACCGGCCAUUGGAGGGGAGAGGAAUGCCCGGCCCUGGCACAGGAGAAUGGGAUGGAGGGUGGAGUAUGUUCACAUUGCUGCUGCCAGCCGAGCACAUUCCCACUGCAGAGUCAUGGAGACUUUUUAACCUACAGAUUUUGAAGCAGCAGCAGUUUCCUUCAAUAGAGUUUCCCCACUGGGGUAUAUAGUAAUAUAUGUCUAAUAAUGUUUUAUUUUAUGAAACACUGUAGAAUUUAAGCCUCUAAAAUUACCCCAAGUGAUGCUGAAAUCAUCUGCUGAGGCCAAAAACAGACAUGAACAACAUGUUCUUUGCUUAACAUAAUUUCUUUUGGCAUUUUUGUGUUUUUAUUCAAUAGUUGACAUCAGAGAUAGACAGGAAAUUUGGCAGGAGAGUGAAGGGUGGAGGGCGGGUGACAUACAGCAAAGGCCCCCAGCCCGACUCGACCAGGGAACAUUGUGAUUACGCUGUGGGAUGACUGCAGUGUCCA